rnacentral:rRNA from 1 species
UUAAAUUGAAGAGUUUGAUCAUGGCUCAGAUUGAACGCUGGCGGCAGGCCUAACACAUGCAAGUCGAACGGUAACAGGAAGCAGCUUGCUGCUUUGCUGACGAGUGGCGGACGGGUGAGUAAUGUCUGGGAAACUGCCUGAUGGAGGGGGAUAACUACUGGAAACGGUGGCUAAUACCGCAUAACGUCGCAAGACCAAAGAGGGGGACCUUCGGGCCUCUUGCCAUCAGAUGUGCCCAGAUGG